rnacentral:lncRNA from 1 species
UCUAUCUAAAAAUUUGGAGUCAACAGAAAGGGAUAUUCUUAGAAGUCCAUUUUGUUAGUCUUAUGAUCUCAAUAUUUAACAUUAAUGCUGAGUAGUUGUCUCCGAACUCCAAAGGGAGAGUUUGCCUGACCUCUUGUUAGUGGUGGGAGAGACCGAGUUACCAGCAGCGAAUCCGUCCGCAGCUGCAGCAACUUCAAUUCUUGCCUCCUCAGAAGAAAGAAUUCAACGGAGGGACAUAAAGCAGAAAGAGACCAAGGCUCUUGUCCCCUGAGACAACCAACUUUUAGAAUUUCAAUGCAAAUUAUCUCACUGCCUGCCUCCCCCAUUUCCUCAAAGCUAAUUUUUCCACUCCUGCCCUUCAAGCCUUGGGGUCUUGCUGCAUUCGUGGGAUUGCUCCCAAUAGCAUUUAAACAAAAUAAAAUUAAAAGGAGCACUGAAAGUCCAGCCCAGUUCUGAUUCAUUGCUCAUUGGAAGAAGAGUAAUAUCAGCUUGUUGGUGGUACUGUUCAUUUUUUCAUCUACUGAAGAACAUCUGGAUUUAAGACAAAUAAAGCUGUGAUGAAAUACUUGAACAUCUGGAAUUACAGCGAAGUUCCUGAAUGGAGUGGGGGAAAAAAAAUUCUGGAGCCUGGGUAAUCCAAGAUCAACACAUCAGUAGAUUCGAUGUCUGUGAAGUACAUGCUUCCUGUUUCAGAGAUGGGUGUCUUCUCACUGUGUCCUCACAUUGUGGAAGGGGUGAAGGAUUCUCCUGGACCUCUUUUCUGGGUACACUGAUCUUAUUCAUGAGGGCUCCACCCUCAUGACCAAAUCACCUCCCACAUGCCCCACCUCUUAAUACAAUCACUUUGGGGGUUGAAUGGGGGGGAGGGCAGAAACAUUCAAUCUGUAGUAACUUGUGUAAAUUGUGUAUCUAUGAACUACUUGUGGAAAUAAAAAAACAUUAAAGGUAUGAACUAGAAAAAUAAUGAGUGAGAAUUUAAAAUAUUAAUCAAUGGUACCCAACCUUGUUUUUUUUUUUUUUUUUUUUUUUUGAGAUGGGGGUUGUCAUAUUUUGGGGUAUCUGUUUCUGACCACCCAAACUGGGGUAUCAGCCAUGAUGCUUUAUGAUGGAGAGGAAAAGGAUU